UGGGGAAUAUUGCACAAUGGGCGCAAGCCUGAUGCAGCCAUGCCGCGUGUAUGAAGAAGGCCUUCGGGUUGUAAAGUACUUUCAGUCGGGAGGAAGGUGGUAAGGUUAAUAACCUUAUCAAUUGACGUUACCGACAGAAGAAGCACCGGCUAACUCCGUGCCAGCAGCCGCGGUAAUACGGAGGGUGCAAGCGUUAAUCGGAAUUACUGGGCGUAAAGCGCACGCAGGCGGUUGAUUGAGUCAGAUGUGAAAUCCCCGGGCUUAACCCGGGAAUGGCAUCUGAUACUGGGCAGCUAGAGUCUUGUAGAGGGGGGUAGAAUUCCAUGUGUAGCGGUGAAAUGCGUAGAGAUGUGGAGGAAUACCGGUGGCGAAGGCGGCCCGCUGGACAAAGACUGACGCUCAGGUGCGAAAGCGUGGGGAGCAAACAGG
rnacentral:rRNA from 1 species